GUCUCAUGUCAUGCUCUUAAACGAUGCCCCACAACGGGAGCUCACGAGGGUGACAACAGUUUGAAAGUCUCCUUCCUGACUGCUUUGUCCUGUUCUCUGUUCAAACCUGGCCCCAGAAGGGGCGCCCCAAGAUGCUUAGCGGAAGGACAGGUCUAGUGUGUGAGGAGGCCCAGCCCAUGGCCUUCCCGGGACCUGCACCUGCCUCGUCCACGCGGACAGACCCCGCCUUUCCCCGGGCCGCCCCAUGACCUUGGUAAUAAACAGGGUGAAACAUGGUGCCUGAGGCCAGAAGAAACGGCAACGCUCCCUCCUGCUUGUUCGCUUGUUCGGAAGCAAAGUUACGACGCGAGCGGGUCCCCGCUGCUGUGCUCUGCCGAACACGGUCCCCAGAGAGCAGCGAACCUGCUUCGUGAGCCUGGCUGCUGCUGGCUGGCGUCAAGUCCCCUCCAGUGAGUGGACGUCAAGCGACGGCCUGCAGCUGCAGCCGGACAAUCAUGCGGGAGCUUCGGAUAAAGUUCUCUGCCCUCAACACCGUCUACAUCGCGUCCGUAUUCUUGCCGUGGGCUCAGGGCACGCGCCGUCCCACAUGACGCUACUUGUUAAAAAUCUAGUGUUUAACGUAACCCUUUUCCAUGUCAUGAUAAACUCCCCACAGGCUUUCUUCACUCGAUCCCCCGUAAUCUGUCCAGAUGUUUCUUAACCGUUUCACCGAAGACAGACACUGAGAGCUGGUGCCCUCUGCUCGGGUAAAUCAGGCUAUGAGGCCACAGAGCCUGCCGGAGACCUCGCUGCGGCCCUGCCCACGCCGGCCGCCUGAACAGGCUCCCGGCCCAGUGCCAGGCUCUGCCGAACCUUCCCAGCAGGGCUGUCUCCGGGCUCCUUGCCAGGCGAGCCAGCUUUGUCCAGGAGCUUAGCCGUGGGCUGCACUCCCUCCCCCCAGUCCCUGCUCAUUAGCCAGGCGACGGGGGGCCUUAUGCCAGCAGAGCGCUGGCCCUCCUCCUCUCUGCUCCUGCCCACCGGCAGGUGGGGGACCCAGGAUCUCUCAGAACACCCUGAGGCUUUGGUCAAACUCAACUUUCUGACUCGGUCAGUCUGGGGGGUGAGCAGCCGGGGCCGUCUGCCCGGGGUGAGUAGCCAUGGUCAGGGCCCUUGGGUCGGCUCCCCGCUCUGCCACUCUGAGCUUUGAGACCUGGGACAAACCAUGCAGCUGCUCUGAACUUCCCUGGUCUGUGAAACGGGGGUGACAGCACCCGGCCUGUGGGAUUAUUAUACCGGGUGAGGAAGAUCAUGUAUGAGCCAUUGAGCACGGAGCCUGGCGAGCCUCAGCCUCCCGUUCGGGUAUGACGCUGCCGUUUUCAGAUCUUCUGUGAGGCUUCCGUCGGCCCCGAGCGUGAUUCCACACAUCUCUGGGAGGGGACAACGUCUCUGUCUGUCGUCAGGUUCCGGGUCCAGUGACCCCCCCUCUAAGGACGAUUCCCUGGGAUCAUGUCCUGUCACUCCCCUCACAGAAGCCUCAGAAAGUUGUCUUCUUGAAGACAUACGGGGAGGAGGGGGGAUCUUGUCCUUCUCCAAACUGUUUUCUCUGACAGGUGCACGGUCUCGUCUGUGAGUCUGGCAAAUCUCAGCGUUGUCCGGAAGGAUGGCCAGCAGCCCCAGUUCCAGUCUGAGCGAUGGGUUUCUUUCCCUACUCAGAAGGGACUAUCAGUGUUUCCAAAUUCUCUCAACGUCAUUUUUUCCCCUAAAAUCCAGUGGGCCACGGAUCCCUCUUUGGCUAAACAAAGCCCCCCAGGUUCGGGAAUACUCGGAGCUCUGCCUUACUCCCACCCACCCUUCCUGGUCCGUCCCCUGAGUCGGACCCUUCCUAAAGCCCCUGACCACACCCCCCAGCACCCCACACAUUACCCGCCCCUCCCCACCCUGCAGGCCACCCGCUGGUGCUCACACCUGCUUUCCCCUCCUCAUCCCCUCCCUGAAGCUUGGAAACUGUCCACUUAUCUUUGUGUCCUCAGCACUGGGCACAGGGCCUGGCACACGGCAGACACGGACUAUGUUUGUGGAAUCAAUAAUAAACACAUGAACAAAUUAACCUGAUUUAAAGUUAACAAAUUAACUUUCUUAAUCAUCUAAUGGGCUUUAUUAAAAUAUACUUUGGAAUUCUGGAUCCACGGGCAAACUUAAAAUAUCUUUAAAGGGUAUUCUAGGAAGACACUAAUACAGAUGAAAACAUGACGACUGGAGAAAGCUUGUCCUCUGCACUUCCACAGUCACCUCUGCCACUGAGUCAGACUGUGAUUUAUUUAGGGCUCGGGAUCAUGAACUGCGUAUCUCCCUGCGGGUUGGGUCAGCGACUGUCAGAGACUCCUAGAAUACACCACCAGUGUUUGUGGACUCCCCGAAACCGCCAGCCUUGCACGCCCCCCUCUGUAUGUUGUACAUCAUGUGAGAUUUGCCAUCUUAACCGUCUUGUCACGGUGCAGGGACAGCAAGGAUAUUCACACUGAGGUGCAGCCAUCACCACCGUCCAUCUCUAGAACUUUCCAUCUUCCCC